rnacentral:rRNA from 1 species
UUUGAGGAAAACGCACUCAGUCAUCCUAUGGUACACGGCAGCUAGGGACUGAAAUGUCUCACGACGGUGUAGACUCAGCUCGUGUAACCAGUGACACCGAGAACAGCGGAGCCGACCGGACAAUAUAUCACCCUCCAACAUGUGAUGUUCUGACAAAGUGCUGGAAAAGGGUACUGGGACAGUGUCUGGUGGGUAGUUUGAGUGGGGUGGUCUCCUCCCAACGCGUAACGGAGGAGCGCGAAGGUUUGCUAAUGACGGUCGGGGAUCGUCAGGUUAGUGCAAUGGUAUAAGCAAGCUUAACUGCGAGACAGACAAGUCGAGCAGGUCCGAAAGCAGGUCAUAGUGAUCCGGUGGUUCUGAAUGGAAGGGCCAUCGCUCAACGGAUAAAAGGUAGUCCGGGGAUAACAGGCUGAUACCGCCCACGAGUUCAUAUCGACGGCGGUGUUUGGCACCUUGAUGUCGAAUCAUCACAUCCUGGGGCUGAAGUAGGUCCCAAGGGUAUGAAUGUUCGCCAUUUAAAGUGGUACGCGAGCUGGGUUUAGAACGUCGUGAGACAGUUCGUUCCCUUUCUGCCGUGGG